AGUGAACGCUGGCGAUAGGCCUAACACAUGCAAGUCGAACGGCAGCACAGUAAGAGCUUGCUCUUACGGGUGGCGAGUGGCGGACGGGUGAGGAAUACAUCGGAAUCUACUUUUUCGUGGGGGAUAACGUAGGGAAACUUACGCUAAUACCGCAUACGACCUACGGGUGAAAGCAGGGGAUCUUCGGACCUUGCGCGAUUGAAUGAGCCGAUGUCGGAUUAGCUAGUUGGCGGGGUAAAGGCCCACCAAGGCGACGAUCCGUAGCUGGUCUGAGAGGAUGAUCAGCCACACUGGAACUGAGACACGGUCCAGACUCCUACGGGAGGCAGCAGUGGGGAAUACUGGACAAUGGGCGAAAGCCUGAUCCAGCCAUACCGCGUGGGUGAAGAAGGCCUUCGGGUUGUAAAGCCCUUUUGUUGGGAAAGAAAAGCAGCAGGUUAAUACACCGCUGUACUGACGGUACCCAAAGAAGAAGCACCGGCUAACUUCGUG
rnacentral:rRNA from 1 species